GGAUGUGAGGGCUACCUGGCUGCGACAUCUGUCACCCCAUUGAUCGCCAGAGUUGAUUCAGCUAAUCUGGCUGGCUAGGCAGGUGUCCCCUUCCUCCCUCACUGCUCCAUGUCUGCCCCUCCCAAAACUGUGCGCUCAGUUGAAGAGGACAGCCUUCCCUGAAUAGAGAUGGACUAGUCUCCCUGCUAGAAUCUCCGAACAAGCUCUCAAAUGUGUCCUAUGUUCCCUGCUUUCUGGCAUCUCCCAUGUAUCAAAGUAGCCAACGGCAGCUU
rnacentral:sRNA from 1 species